UCGGGCUUUGCCUGGUGGUGAGAGUGGCGAACGGGUGAGUAAUGCGUGACCGACCUGCCCCAUGCACCGGAAUAGCUCCUGGAAACGGGUGGUAAUGCCGGAUGCUCCAUCACACCGCAUGGUGUGUUGGGAAAGCCUUUGCGGCAUGGGAUGGGGUCGCGUCCUAUCAGCUUGAUGGCGGGGUAACGGCCCACCAUGGCUUCGACGGGUAGCCGGCCUGAGAGGGCGACCGGCCACAUUGGGACUGAGAUACGGCCCAGACUCCUACGGGAGGCAGCAGUGGGGAAUAUUGCACAAUGGGCGCAAGCCUGAUGCAGCGACGCCGCGUGAGGGAUGGAGGCCUUCGGGUUGUAAACCUCUUUUGUUAGGGAGCAAGGCACUUUGUGUUGAGUGUACCUUUCGAAUAAGCACCGGCUAACUACGUGCCAGCAGCCGCGGUAAUACGUAGGGUGCAAGCGUUAUCCGGAAUUAUUGGGCGUAAAGGGCUCGUAGGCGGUUCGUCGCGUCCGGUGUGAAAGUCCAUCGCUUAACGGUGGAUCCGCGCCGGGUACGGGCGGGCUUGAGUGCGGUAGGGGAGACUGGAAUUCCCGGUGUAACGGUGGAAUGUGUAGAUAUCGGGAAGAACACCAAUGGCGAAGGCAGGUCUCUGGGCCGUUACUGACGCUGAGGAGCGAAAGCGUGGGGAGCGAACAGGAUUAGAUACCCUGGUAGUCCACGCCGUAAACGGUGGAUGCUGGAUGUGGGGCCCGUUCCACGGGUUCCGUGUCGGAGCUAACGCGUUAAGCAUCCCGCCUGGGGAGUACGGCCGCAAGGCUAAAACU
rnacentral:rRNA from 1 species